rnacentral:ncRNA from 2 species
AAAUGAAUAUUUCUCCGAGCCUUAUCUCCUAAAGGCGUCUGCCUAUGGAGAAAGGCUAACGGGCGCUACUGAAAACGGUAGCACCUCCCGUGUUUGGAAAGGAGGAACCAUGAUUAAAGU